CAAGGCGACGAUCCCUAGCUGGUCUGAGAGGAUGACCAGCCACACUGGAACUGAGACACGGUCCAGACUCCUACGGGAGGCAGCAGUGGGGAAUAUUGCACAAUGGGCGCAAGCCUGAUGCAGCCAUGCCGCGUGUAUGAAGAAGGCCUUCGGGUUGUAAAGUACUUUCAGCGGGGAGGAAGGUGUUGUGGUUAAUAACCGCAGCAAUUGACGUUACCCGCAGAAGAAGCACCGGCUAACUCCGUGCCAGCAGCCGCGGUAAUACGGAGGGUGCAAGCGUUAAUCGGAAUUACUGGGCGUAAAGCGCACGCAGGCGGUCUGUCAAGUCGGAUGUGAAAUCCCCGGGCUCAACCUGGGAACUGCAUUCGAAACUGGCAGGCUUGAGUCUUGUAGAGGGGGGUAGAAUUCCAGGUGUAGCGGUGAAAUGCGUAGAGAUCUGGAGGAAUACCGGUGGCGAAGGCGGCCCCCUGGACAAAGACUGACGCUCAGGUGCGAAAGCGUGGGGAG
rnacentral:rRNA from 1 species